rnacentral:rRNA from 1 species
UACCUGCAGCUCAAGUGGUGGCCGUUAUUAUUGGGCCUAAAACGUCCGUAGCCGGUUUAUUAAAUGCCUGGGUAAAUCGGGCCGCUUAACGGUUCGAAUUCCGGGUAGACUGAUAGACUUGGGACCGGGAGAGGCUAGAGGUACUCCUAGGGUAGAGGUGAAAUUCUGUAAUCCUAGGGGGACCACCAGUGGCGAAAGCGUCUAGCUAGAACGGGUCUGACGGUGAGGGACGAAGCCCUGGGGCGCAAACCGGAUUAGAUACCCGGGUAGUCCAGGGUGUAAACGCUGCUUGCUUGAUGUUAGUCGGGCUCCGAGCCCGAUUAGUGUCGGAGAGAAGUUGUUAAGCAAGCUGCCUGGGAAGUACGGCCGCAAGACUGAAACUUAAAGGAAUUGGCGGGGAGCACAGCAACGGGUGGAGCGUGCGGUUU